CUGGACAUUGCAGAGGAUUUUGAUAACCGGCCUUCCAAAAAGGCAAAAAUUUCUGAAUCACGUGUACUGGAACCAUCACCUAUGUCACCAACUAUGAAAACAUCUUCUCCAGGUUCAGAGUGUUUUGAAUCGUUUGUGCCAGAAUCAGAUAAUCAGAUGAAUCAUGAUACACUACCAUCACCUCCAUCCCCAUCUAGCUCGACAAUAUCUCCUGUUUUCCCAUUGCAUGAUAUUAAGGAACCAAAUUCACAUAAAGAGAUCAAAGUUGAUGAGACAUAUGAUUGUCUCCCACAAGGUAUUUGCUUGAUUUAUCACGUGUGCUUUCGUAUACAAUAUAUUCUUAAAUUAUUUGAUUUUCUGCAGACUAUACAUUGACCGACCAUGAUCUAUGUGCUCAUAUAGCAAUAGAAUCAUCUUUGAGAAAACAAUUGCUGGUUCAGAUAGAUGGAAGUUCUGUCUUGCAACAUCAAUUGAUGUGCCUGCUAGAUGAGAAAGAGUGGGUAAAUGAUGAUGUGAUCAAUGCAUAUAUAUGUUGUAUAAAGGACCAAAUACAUCUCCAGAAUGAUAAUAAAGUAUAUUUUGAGAGUCCAUUUGUUACCUCACUAUUUAAACGAGAUGGCACCAUUGGAAUACAAGAAGGUAGUGCCUUCAUGACAGAGAUUGUCCUCGAAUAUAUGCAGCAUGACAUGAUUAAACUUCCAAUAAAUGCCAAUAACACACAUUGGUAUUUAGCUGUUGUGAAUA